AUUUUAAAAUAACAUUGUUUAUUUCUCAUUAUAGCUAUGUUUUUUAUUUCACUUUUUUUUUGCGUUUACCAAAAAAACAAUGUGGAUGCUGCUGCGUUGCAGAGGUUAUCUGCUAAAGUUUUUUUUUCUCUUCUGUUCCAUGCACCGUGACUGGCGAUGCAGUUGAUGCUUUUGUUACUAAACCGCGUGUGACUUAUGUAGUCUUCCUUGUGUAGUUUUGUUCUCUUUGAUUUCUGAAUGAUGUCUUGCUUUCACUACAAGUUUAAGUUGUAACUAUUGUUUUCCCACACACACACAAAGGGGUGAGUGUUAUCUUCAUAAAUUGUUGUUAAGUGUUUUUUUUUUGCUUCUUUUGUAUCUUCUGUGUGAUGUUUGUGUGACUCACACAUUUGAUUUUUUUUCUUUGCUGACUUUUUCGCGUAUUUUGUAAGAAAAUAAGCGAUAAUCUAGAGAAAUGACAAUAAUCAUUCGAAUCUACUUCGUCGCGAUAGUUUUGCCACCUUGUCAAACCGUGUUAUCAAAUUGUGUAUCAAAAAAUAUUCGAAAAAAAACGAAAUUCCUCUAACUUAUUCGGCGAAAACGCUGCGCUAAUAAAACGUAACAGUAUUUUUAUUUUGUUUUUAGCUUUCUUUUGUUUGUUUUUGUUGUUUGCUUCCGCCUAGCUUUUCGCUCCUGUGCUUGUUUUGACUUUUCUUGUUUGUUUCCUGCCUCUUCAAUUUUGACUAAUAAAAAGGCCACGAUAUUAUUUCUUCUUUUCUAGUUUUUGUUGUUGUUUUUGCUGGUUUGUUUCAAUUCAUCGCGUCAUUGCUGCUUUCAAUUUUAAUGUUUUGUUAUGUUUCCACUUUCAACGGAUUCUGACUUUCAGUGAUUGAAUUUCUUUUACUUUGACAUUGCUUCAAGAUUUUGCAAAGUUUCUGGUGGGGGAGUGCAAAACCAGGAAGAUUUCGAAUCUCAUUCUAUUGGUGUUUUUGUUGUUGUUGUUUGGGAUGUUAAAGCAGAUGAUUCCACCCCUGCGUUUGAUUUGAAGCUUACCUUUUCAGCAAUGUUUACGUUGGAUCAAAGAACAAGGUUAGUAACACUGAAGGUGAGGUUGCUGUCAAAUGCAGGGUUGGAUUUAUUGCCUUAUCUGUUUACUAGAUCUUUUAAAUGGACAACGGGUUCACGGAAGAACAAAAGUAUACGUUUUAAUUAUAAGGGUACCUAAAACGAUUUCUCUUGCUAGUAAAGCAUGGUUUAGAGUUGAACUCAAAGUUUAGCGAUUUUGUGUUUCUACAUUUUGAUUACAAGUUUCCGCGGUAUCGAUUUGUUUCAAAGUGUGUAUGUGUGCCUUUUUGUUGUUCUUUCUAAGGAUUAGGAUAUUAGUUCAUUAGCUUAGUUCUGCUUCUACUUGCGUUUGUUCCGUGCAUUGCGGAUAGACACUCAAUAGAAGCGGAAAACGUAAUUCACGUUGGAAUCUACAUGAAAAAGGGGGGAGGGUUUUUGAAAAAUACAUGCUUUCGGAUGUCUUUUGCGUUCAUUCAUUCGCGAGUCUACGCUUGGGUUCAGUGUCGGACAAACAAGAGUGGAGUUUUGUAAGUCGGAUUUGGCUGAGGAUUGUGAAAAUGUUUGAAGGAUUGAUUGUUUGGAGCAUAUUUCAGCAUAUUUCAGUUUAUUUUUGGGGGACUUUUAGUCGAAAGUACAAAUUGUGCAAUGUCAGGGUUAGCUUUAGCGGUGCGGCAUUUGUGUCAUACCUUGGGAAAUAGCAAGCACGUGGUUGGGACAGUUUAAGUCCGGAUGGCGUUAUUUCUUGUUAAAAAUCCGCAAAAACGUGGACGUGUUUUAUUUCAUUUUUAUUUCAGAAGAUUUUCUAGCCGUGUAAUGCUUAUUUGCUAGCUUGCUUUGUGAGUUGAAACUCCUCAAAAUUCGUGUUUGAACAAUCCUUCUAAAAAUAUGUCAGCGACAAUUUUGGUUUUUGUUUACCCUACCACGCCUGCAAGGGCGAUACAAAUGUCUCAGUUUUCUAGCGUGUUUGUCCUGUUAUACGUGUAAAAAUCAGUCAAUUUAAUAAGUUUUUCUUUGUUAUUUAUUGUUUGAAACCCAAUUCGACCGUAUCUUUAAAUUUCUUGAGCCUGUCCAACCCUGGUUUCACCAGGACCUAUAGGCCUAGCCUUUCUUGUUUGUUUUUGUUUUUCUGGUUGUUUUCUAUACGAGUGGGCAACAACGCGCGUGUAUAAAAAGCGUUCAACUGCUGAAAAAUAUAUGCUCAAUCUAACGAUUAGUAUUUCUCUUUGUUUGCUAUUCGCAUUUUACUGUUUUGCUUGUUUUAACCAACAACAACUACGUAACAUUAUAUUUUAUGUUUUUGUUUGUAUAGUAUUGGUGAUAUCGCGUGAUUUGCCAUGGCAUUAUUUUCCUCAUGUACUUGUGUGUUUAUGUGGGUGUGUGUAUCUGCUUUUGAUUUCUCAUUAAUCAGUUUGACAAAACACCAAUGAAUCUGCAACUCCAUAUUUUUCAAUGCUGAGUCCACCCCUGCAUUUUGACAGGUUGAUUCAGCAAAAGCAAUCAAGGUGUACAAAAGUGAAGGUGCGAUUGGCGCAGGGGUGAACUCAACGUGAAAAACAAGGUUUGCUAGAAAAUUGUGUGCGCGUGUGUUUUAAAUUGUUUCUCUUCUCUUUUGCAAUGAUUGGGUCGGGAUUCUACAAGGGGAGAGAGCUAGUGGAAGCUAGUAAACGGCAUUUUGAGUUCUUGCAACUAUCUGUGAGGUUAUGUUUAAGUAUUGCUGCGAUGCGUCAGAAGGGUGGAAAUGAAAAUAGUGCAGUCUUUUGAGUGUUUUCAGCGCUAUCUUUUUUAAAUAUUUUAAGGUGUUUGACGAAUGUGCCCUAUAUCCAGGCAAUUAGGCUUGAGCUGCUCUUUAUACCGUUGGGAUUUUUUAUAAAAUUUAAACAUCUCGGUACGAGAAUUGAACUAACGAUUCCCAGUGCGGAUUUUUACUCUUUGAAGGGAUUCUGACUGCCGAGCCAGACGCGAAUUAUGCCCUGUAAUGGAAGGAAUAUUGAGCUACUUUGAACCACCCUAAAGUCCACGAUCCAUACAAAAAGACAGGGUUGUUUAACAUCCCUGGCAGACGGUAAUAAAUAACAAAAUUCAUGCCAUUUCAAUAACAAAUACUGUUAAAUUAACAAAAAGUGUUAUGGAAUCUUCUUGAAAAAUCCAUUUUUGCAUAAGAGUUUAGUAACAGUUUAUGUUAUCAUAACAAAUUUGUUAUUGGUCUGAUAUUGGCUGAAAGCCAAUUCAACUUUGGAAUACUAUUUUUUGUUGUGGAAGAAUACCCCAAACUGUUAUUAGGAUGAUCGGAUUAGUUGUUAAAAUAACAAAAAAUAAUAACAAAGAUUUGUUCGAAGAAUAACUAAAAGAAUUAUUUGUUUGUUAUUACAAUAACAAUCCAAUAACAAAAAUUUCAUUGCGACGAAUAACAAAUCUUGUUGUAAAUAACAUAAAAUGCUAUUGGCCUAGUAUUUUCAAAUAUCAAUAAAUGUUAUUCCCAAGUUAUUUCCGUCUGCUCGGGAUACCAGACUGGAUAGAAUACGUAGGAUUUUUGUUUUGAAAAAAAGCAGUUUAGAAUGAAAUUUGGAAAAUUUGGUUUUCUAAUUUGUGAAUACACCAAUAAAGGGCAAUUCGGAGAAGCAUUUCAGAUAACCUUCGUUUUCGCUUUACAAGCAAUUAGGUUCUAUGCCGUGACGUCAUUUGACAGCUCACGUGUUACUUUUUUGACGUCUGAA